UCACAUGAUGCCUUUCAGUACGCUCCCUCUCCUCUCAGCGCUCAAUCCCGGCGAGUGCAGGCAUCAUUGAAGACCUGACACCGGCGGAAUCGGACGUCCACUGUCCUCGGCAAAAUUAACCAGGUGUUCUCUGAUGCAAACUUUAUCGCCGUGUGAUGAAGCUGACCGUCCUGUCAACGCGAGUGACCCCUCUUCGCCGGAGGAGCAGACUUUUUUCCGUCUCCAAACGACCGGAGAGGCGCAAGGGCGAGACAAUAACGCCCAGAAGUUACUGAAAUGAAUCGUCGUGAAAGAUGCUGGCAUGAGAAGAAGAAGAAACAGAGCGGGGCGCUAGCAGCGUUAGCCUUCACUGCAGAGGGAAGGAAGGAAAGCAGAACGCAACGAGGAAAAGACAACAGUGAUGAAAGAGAGGUCCAGACAUGAAGGAGGCACGCAUGCUCACACACACACAUUCAACGGCACCUAGAGUCUGUCUGCGGUCUACCACCAGCCUGCCACACACACACACACACACACACACACACACGCACGCCUGUUAUCGGUAAGAAUCAGAGACCACCGAGUCAGGAGUCAGGAGGAUAAUAAUGGUGUGAAUGUGAGAAAACAAAGUCAUUAUCCACUGCUGUUUUCUUCUCUGAGUAAUUUUAAGACAAAUUGACUACUUAUAUUGCAGAAUGCUCCAAAUGCAGUAAUUAAAAAAAACAAAGAAUUAGCUAAAUUCAGUCAUUUUAAUAUCACAGGAUUCAUUUUGAAAAGUAGUUUCUUUGUGCUUUUCAAUAGGCUAUGACAGUAAUGUAUUUUUAUAAAAUUUGAAU